UUCGGCUNUUUAGGUUGACUCAUAGUAACUGAGCUGAUCGCAUGGUCUUGCACCGGCGACGUGUCUUUCAAGUNUCUGCCGUAUCAACUUUCGAUGGUAGUGUAUCUGACUACCAUGGUGAUCACGCGUAACGGAGAAUAAGGGUUCGACUCCGGAGAGUUCGCCUGAGAAAUCGCGAACACAUCUAAGGAAGGCAGCAGGCGCGAAAAUUACCCACUCUCAGCACGAGGAGGUAGUGACGAAAAAUAACGAGACCGUUCUCUCAUGAGGCCGGUCAUCGGAAUGGGUACAAUUUAAACCCUUUAACGAGUAUCUAUGAGAGGGCAAGUCUGGUGCCAGCAGCCGCGGUAAUUCCAGCUCUCAAAGUGCAUAGAAUUAUUGCUGCGGUUAAAAAGCUCGUAGUUGGAUCUGUGCCAUAGGACGGGGUCCGCCUUCGGGCGCGCACUCCGCUCCUAGGCUUUUUGCUGGUUUUCCCGUCGUAGCCUUCACUGGUUGCGGCGGGUGGCUGGCGAGUUUACUUUGAGAAAAUCAGAGUGCUCAACACAGGCGUUUCGCUUGAAUGAUUGUGCAUGGAAUAAUAGAAAAGGAUUUCGGUCCUCUUUUAUUGGUUUUGUGGACUGAGAUAAUGGUUAACAGGGACAAACGGGGGCAUUCGUAUCGCUGCGUGAGAGGUGAAAUUCUUGGACCGUAGCGAGACGCCCUACUGCGAAAGCAUUUGCCAAGAAUGUCUUCAUUAAUCAAGAACGAAAGU
rnacentral:rRNA from 1 species